GUUGGAGGGGAUCGUCCGGGAUUGGCCGCCAUCAUCGAUACGGCCAUUCGCCAUAUUCUCUUUGUGUAAUCCGCAGUUCGUGAAUUGUUCGUUCGUAUCUUGUGUUGCUCCGUACGCGUUUCCGCGUAGAUUUCGGCGUGACUUCCAACGAGGGUCGGCGCGGUAUCCAAACGGGAGGAUGAGUUACGGUAGGCCACCGCCCCGCAUCGACGGGAUGGUUUCCCUGAAAGUCGACAAUCUUACGUACAGAACAACGCCGGAAGAUCUGAGACGCGUGUUCGAGCGAUGCGGCGAGGUCGGCGACAUUUACAUCCCUCGCGAUCGCUUCACGCGCGAGAGUCGCGGGUUUGCGUUCGUCAGAUUUUAUGAUAAGCGUGACGCAGAAGAUGCAUUGGAUGCCAUGGAUGGAAGAUUGUUAGAUGGCAGGGAACUGCGUGUUCAGAUGGCGCGAUAUGGACGUCCUACGUCCCCGCAUCGUAGUCGUGGAAGUCGUCGUCGUGGCAGAUCACGAAGCAGAAGCAGGGAUCGCAGACGAUCCCGAUCUCGAUCUCGCAGUAGGUCUCGCAGCCGCGAUAGAGACCGCAGGCGCUCCUAUAGUCGUAGCCGCAGUCGCUCUCGCUCGGACAGCAAGAGCUCACGCGGCAAAUCACGCUCUCGCAGCAAGUCUCAGGACAGGCAGAAAGACAGUCGCUCCAAAUCCAGGGACUGAGCUUUUAUCGCAGCGAGACAAGACAAUGAGUUCGCACGCAUCCAACGAGUGCCGAAUAAUCUAUGUUGAGAUUUGAAAAAAAAAAGGCGGUGGAAAGGAGUGGCGUGGCGCGGGUGUAGCCGAUGAUGGGGUAGCUGAGAGUAAGCAGUAAGCCGAGUAGCAGGGGGCUGUAAGCAGUUUGCAGUAGCGAGAGAGAGCGGUGUUGGUGGUGCGAUACGGUGCGGUGCGGUGCGGUGCGGCGCGAUGCGGUUCCGGUCCGGUCCGGUGCGCUCCGGUGGUCUGGUGGUUCGUUGAAAGCGGGUUUGCGAGCGGUCAGGGUGAAAGAGCGAGAAAGAAAGGGGGAGAAAGAGUGAUGUACGGUAUAAUGAGCGAAAGAUAGAAAGAGGGGAUGAUAGAUGCCAAUCCAUCGCAAGUAUUAAGAAUCAUCGCGGGUGGUCCGCUGCUGGCUUCUUCGGACAUCGUCCGGCGCGAUGUCAGGUUCCUAGCAUCGCGCGACCAUAGACCAUCACCAGACCUCGCGAACAGAAGCGGCUGAGAUUCAUAGAGCGUCGUAUUCAUCCUUCGAUCAUCGGUAAAUGGAGUCACGUGAUAAACGGUAAAAAAAUAACGGUAUGGUAGAUCACAGCCUACGUAUUAUGGUGUUCGGAGAGUGGCAGCGCUUGAACUAGUAGAGAGAAAACAAAUUCGGUUUAGCUUGCUAUAGUUCGGAUGAGCAAGAUGCCUAAUUUCUUGCGAGGGAUUUUCAAGUUCCUUCGCGAUACAGUUUGCCAUAUCAAGAGAGUAUUGAUCUUUCAUUGCCAUACAAUUGAUUAAAUUUAAUAACGUAAUCAUAGAUACGAACGAUCGUUGAGCUUGACAUUACAUUGCAAUGUGUGCCUGCAAAUACAGGCAAAUAGGAUUUACAGGUAAAUGGAUAAGUUGCAUAUUUAUGGUUUUUCCAAAUAUUUUUAUUAUAUAUUAUAUUAUUAUAUAUACAUUAUAUAUGAGUAAAAUAUUUCAGCUCUAUUGCGUGUCCAACUUAGGACAAUGCAAUUUUCAAUCGGCAAAAAACAAAAAAUUCUUUUAAGCAAUUGAAAUUUGAUAGAAAGACAGAUUCUUAUGUGUAUCUAGUAUAAAUUCCGUGCUUUAACUUUUUUUUUAUUAUUGAAUCAUUAUAAGUAAAUGCAUCUUAGAAAAUGACAAGUGAUGCAGAUAAAGGAUUAAAUUAAAAAGGUUUAAAAUGCAUGUCAAAAGUGGUUUUGAAACUUUUAACUUGCAUUAAGUUGCUACACAUUGCAUUAUUUCUCAGUCCCGAACACACUGAAUCGGCAAACAUUGCUUGGCCGUGAAAGAUGCCCGCGGCGCCACAUCGUCCAAAGAAAAUAAGAAAAGAUGGAGACAACUUUUUGACAAGGACUUUCUUUUAGUGUUUCAUCUAUGUUUUUCUUUCAGGUGAAUAUUAAUCUACCUACAAAUACGUUACGAAUUAAUGUAAGUAUCAUUGUCGUAUGCAAGAUGUUUUAGAAAUAACAAGAUUUCAUCAUAUAGAUACAACGGUGGAUUGUGGGAAUAUGCAAGGAUAAUCAAUAAAAUUUGAUACCAAAA
rnacentral:misc_RNA from 1 species